UAAAAUAAUAGAUGUGCUCGUA
rnacentral:siRNA from 1 species